AGUCGUAAAAUUGGAACCCAAUUUGUAAUAAAUUGAUAGAUAAUUGUAUUUAAGCUCCUAAGCAAAGCUGCUGAAUGCGUUCAGCGAGAGAAAAAGGGUUCGUUCAAUGGAAAAACGAAUUCCUAUCCUGAAAAAUACCAGCAUACGGUUAGUGAUAAAUGCAGAAAAUUUCACAAGGAACAUGGAACGAUGUCUUAGGCAGCGAUCCCGAACCAGUUUAUCCCAUGGGAACAAAAAAAAAAUUUUGAAUUCGCAAAUAUUUUACAAAUUAAUUAAGAUGGACAUAAAUAAAAUAUUAUGAGUAUGUCUGGACAACUCUGCUUUGUAUGUAUUAAUAUUUAAAACGUGCUUUUGCCUCGAUUCAAUUUACAGGAACACAGGUGCGGCGAAUUUGUCACAAUAAAACUUGUUUGUGAUUCACUUUCAGCUGGCAAAAUUGCGGGCAUUGUCUCACUUUGAUUUGGGUCUGUGCAACAAUACGCGAAUAUGGUGAGCUCGCACUUUGCCAGACGGCGGAAUUAAAAACAAAUACGAAAACAAUUAAUCGUGAUGUCCGUAAUACCGGAGACGGAGAGUAGUCAAGCAAUGGAAAAAUUCAUUAAUUUUCAACAAAACACUUAAAAAUUCUCCAUCAAUGCAAAUAUAAUAAUGCAACCCUGGAUAGUGAGUCCGCUUCUUCUCUUUAAUUACACAAUAAUGGCAACUGUCUUAAUGAAAUUUAUGAAACUUAUUGCAAUGUUUAUUGUUUUUAUUAGUUUGUGGCCGCUACUGCAUUUUGCCUGAGUACUUUCGCGAAUUCGCUUCGGGAGACAGCACUGAUUCACAGGCGCGGCGCAAGCGAAAACUCUCCUCCGUUAAAAUAUCAAAAUCGUAAGCAUGCGAACAAUUAAAUUCGCAGAUUCCACUAAUCACGGCAGCUUUAAUGGUUCUCGAUCGUAAUUUACGCUUUAAGUUUUAUUUGUUUAUUUUAUUUUAUGUACAGUUAUACUCUUAGAAUCGUACUAAUUGCACCUCCAUGUGAGAGAUACCUACACAAGUUCAUGUGUUGUUUCAUGUGUCUUCUGGCAAUAAAGUGCAACUGCGUAACUUACGACCAAUUCUACAAGUAUUGUUGCACUUUUAUGGUUAUUGCUGGGCUAUCCGAGUUUGUGAGCUACAAUUUACAACUAUUUAUAAAGAAUAAAAACAGAAAAUAAAACUAUUAAGAUUCAAGAUGCCGCAGUUACCCAUACCACAGAUACGUGAAUGCGGUUAAUACGAAUACGAAUGCAAACAGGUGCCGACGAUUAGUGAGGUUAGACUGUUGUGAGUCACUUUUAGUCUUAGUUAGUCGGCACAAUAAAAGCACUUCUCGAUUAUAAUUGUUGAUAAUUAGUUUUUUUUUCAAUUGCCUAUUUUUGACAGAUCACGCGUGAGUGGUGUCAAGCUGUCAUGUUAUUAUACCCUGAACAGGGUAUAUGAAGUUUGCCACGACACGUACACUCGUAACACUCAGAAGGAAGCGUCGGAGACCCUAUAAAGUAUAUAUUUAAAUGAUCAGUAUGUUGAGCUGAGUCGAUUUAGCCAUGUCCGUCUGUCUGUCUAUCCGUCAGUAUUUAUACGAACUAGUCCCUCAGUUUUAAAGAUAUCGUUUUGAAAUUUUGCAAACGUCAUUUUCUCUUCAAGAAGCUGCUCAUUUGUCGGAACUGCCGAUAUCGGACACAUAUAUGUAUGGAAAACUUCUGUAUGGAAAACUUUCGCAUUUGACGUGGUGUCUUCACGAAAUUUAAUAUGAUUACUACUUAAGGUAAUAACAUAAUCUCCCAAAACAUUGUUCAGAUCGGAUUACUAUAGCAUGUAAACUGAACGAUCGGAGUCAAAUACUUGCAUUGGAGACUUUUUCAGUUAACGAGAUGUAUUUUGCAAAUUCGUCGUGGUUUAUUUUCUAAGGCAACACUACAUAAGUUGAAGAAAUUUUGCAGCCUUAUUGCUUCCAGCAAACAACUUGGUUAAAAAAACUAGUAAAAUGUUUACCUUUGGAUGAAAACCGCUGGCUGGUGACGUUUUACUUACAUAUUCGGCCUGCUGACUGUACUAUUCGCAACACCAUCACCCAUCUUGAGGCCCAGCAAUUAUUAUUGGAUAAUAUUCGGCCAAAUAGACCACGUCCAGCACGCACGGACUGACGUAUGGAACGACUUGGCGCAUUUUACGUCGAGAUCUUAAAUUAAACAGCUUGUGCAAGAACUGAAGCUGCUCGAUCUUCGCAAGCGACAUCGUUUCGCUCUAUAGGCUCUUGAAAAGUUCCAGAAAUUCCGACGUAUUCUAGCCAAAUGUUUUUCAGCGAUGAGGACCAUUUCUGGCUCAACGGAUGUGCAGACAAGCAAAAUUGCUGCAUUUUUGACGAAAAGCAACCAGAAGAGGUUUAGGCCUGUGGAAUCAUCGGUCCAUUUUUCUUCAAAAUUGAUGCGGCUAAGACCGUACCCGACUAUUUGAAAUUGAAGUUCGUGAUCUUUGCGACAUGUGCUUUCAACAAGACGUGGCGCUGUCCCACACAUCCCAUCAAUCUAUGAAUCGCAUCAAACUAUGAAUUUAUUGAGAGAACACUUCGGUGAGCAGAUAAUUUCACGUUUUGGGCCGAUCGAUUCGUUCCAGAGUUAUUGAAAAUUGGACUCAAUGGAAGGACCAUCUGAGACGUAUCCGUGGCCGAAGAGAUAAUCUUCAAAUAAAUAAAUGCCAAAGAAUAUUCUCUCGAAUGAUGAUAAACAUUAUCCAUUAAAUUUGAA